rnacentral:rRNA from 1 species
CGGGUGAGUAACACGUAGGUAACCUGCCCUGUAGUGGGGGAUACCCAGCCGAAAGGUUGGCUAAUACCGCAUGAGCUGUGGAGUUGAAAUACUCUUCAGGAAAGAUUUAUCGCUAUAGGAGGGGCCUGGGUCCGAUUAGCUAGUUGGUGAGGUAAAGGCUCACCAAGGCGACGAUCGGUAGCUGGUCUGAGAGGACGAUCAGCCACACUGGAACUGAGACACGGUCCAG